CGUAGGGUCCGAGCGUUGUCCGGAAUUAUUGGGCGUAAAGGGCUCGUAGGCGGUCCGUCACGUCGGGAGUGAAAACUCAGGGCUCAACCCUGAGCGUGCUUCCGAUACGGGCGGACUAGAGGUAUGCAGGGGAGAACGGAAUUCCUGGUGUAGCGGUGGAAUGCGCAGAUAUCAGGAGGAACACCGGUGGCGAAGGCGGUUCUCUGGGCAUUACCUGACGCUGAGGAGCGAAAGCAUGGGGAGCGAACAGGAUUAGAUACCCUGGUAGUCCAUGCCGUAAACGUUGGGCACUAGGUGUGGGGACCUUCCACGGUCUCCGUGCCGCAGCUAACGCAUUAAGUGCCCCGCCUGGGGAGUACGGCCGCAAGGCUA
rnacentral:rRNA from 1 species